ACGGAGGGUGCAAGCGUUAACCGGAAUGACUGGGCGUAAAGCGCACGCAGGCGGCUUGGUAAGUCAGGUGUGAAAUCCCCGGUUUCAAGCUGGGAAUUGCAUUGGAUACUGUCGGGCUUGAGUGCAGGAGAGGGAAGUGGAAUUCCAGGUGUAGCGGUGAAAUGCGUAGAGAUCGGGAGGAACACCAGUGGCGAAGGCGACUUACUGGACUGUAACUGACGCUGAGGCGCGAAAGUGUGGGGAGCAAACAG
rnacentral:rRNA from 1 species